UGCAUAUCAAAAAGCGGAGGAAAAGAAACCAACCGGGAUUGCCUUAGUAACGGCGAGUGAAGCGGCAAAAGCUCAAAUUUGAAAUCUGGCGUCUUCGACGUCCGAGUUGUAAUUUGAAGAAAGAUACUUUGGGUCUGGUCCUUGUCUAUGUUCCUUGGAACAGGACGUCAUAGAGGGUGAGAAUCCCGUGUGAUGAGGAUCCCAGUCCUAUGUAAAGUGCUUUCGACGAGUCGAGUAUGUUUGGGAAUGCAGCUCUAAGUGGGUGGUAAAUUCCAUCUAAAGCUAAAUAUUGGCGAGAGACCGAUAGCGAACAAGUACAGUGAUGGAAAGAUGAAAAGAACUUUGAAAAGAAGUGAAAAAGUACGUGAAAUUGUUGAAAGGGAAGGGCAUUUGAUCAGACAUGGCGUUUGCUUCGGCUUUCGCUGGGCCAGCAUCAGUUUUGGCGGUUGGAUAAAUCCUCGGGAAUGUGGCUCUACUUGUAGAGUGUUAUAGCCCGUGGGAAUACAGCCAGCUGGGACUGAGGACUGCGACUUUUGUCAAGGAUGCUGGCGUAAUGGUCAUAUGCCGCCCGUCUUGAAACACG
rnacentral:rRNA from 1 species